GUUGAACGCUGGCGGCAUGCUUUACACAUGCAAGUCGAACGGUAACAGGUUAAGCUGACGAGUGGCGAACGGGUGAGUAAUGCAUCGGAACGUGCCCGGUCGUGGGGGAUAACGCAGCGAAAGCUGCGCUAAUACCGCAUACGAUCUGAGGAUGAAAGCGGGGGACCGUAAGGCCUCGCGCGAUCGGAGCGGCCGAUGUCAGAUUAGGUAGUUGGUGGGGUAAAGGCUCACCAAGCCAACGAUCUGUAGCUUGUCUGAGAGGACGACCAGCCCCACGGGAACUGGGACAAGGACCAGACUCCUACGGGAGGCGGCAGUGGGGAAUGUUGGACAAUGGGCGAAAGCCUGAUCCAGCAAUGCCGCGUGCAGGAAGAAGGCCUUCGGGUUGUAAACUGCUUUUGUACGGAGCGAAAAGGUCUCCUCUAAUACAGGGGGCUCAUGACGGUACCGUAAGAAUAGGCACCGGCUAACUACGUGCCAGCCGCCGCAGUAA
rnacentral:rRNA from 1 species